GGAGGUGAGGUGAGCCCCCCUCCUCUAUCAGUGUUAAUACACAAUCACCAAAUGGACCUCUAAACUCUACGUCCCAUUCACUUAUGGAGAUCUGAGUGGAUUUGACAGGUGUACGCAAUAUGGUAAUAGCUCCCGCCUUGCCCUCUGAUAGGCUAGGUAGGAAGUUUGCCCCUUUUAUUGCUAACACCAAUCAAAUCCUCUCAGAGCUAACUCUGUUAGCAAUUACAUCAAGAGUCUAACGUAUGACCCAGUACGAGACACUGUGUCCUGUGGGAGAGACAAGAGACACGCUUUUUCAUUUCACUGAUCACAUCACGACACUCAGUACAACUUCCUAACCUCCACCCACCUCCCUCGCAAGGCCUCUAAGUGCAGAAUAAAAGCUCUCUGGCGUGUGUGUGUGUGUGUGUGUGUGUGUGUGUGUGUGUGUGUGUGUGUGUGUGUGUGUGUGUGUGUCAGCGUGGGGAUUCUAACAGAGGAAGUGGAUGAAAUAUUAACCAACAGUAAAAGCAGACAGGUGAAAGCUUCUGAAAUGCUGAGGCAAUCUGUCCUGUUGUAUUACAGCUAGCUGGAAAUAGGCCAUCAAAAUGACACGCACUUUCCCACAGCCCACAUUUUACAGAUAUCCUGGUUAGAGGACUCACAGGACUCCUGUUUAUUCCGUUUAAAUUCACGGGAUCUUCCAAGCAGGAUUUCUAGAACACCUGGGGACAUCUUGGGAAAGUUAAUGGAAUAGUAGAGCUACUAUGAGUUAGCUAAAACGGAGUGCUACAAUAUACUGUAUCAUAUGAAUAAAGUUAUUUUGAAGUCCUGGAAUGUGAUCAUAUACUGUAAAAUAUGAAUAAAGUUAUUUUGAAGUCCUGGAAUGUGAUCAUAUACUGUAAAAUAUGAAUAAAGUUAUUUUGAAUUCCUGGAAUGUGAUCAUAUAUAAGAUAAAUAAAGUUAUUUUGAAGUCCUGGAAUGUGAUCAUAUAUAAGAUAAAUAAAGUUAUUUCUUGCCACAGUGUUUUUUGUUGUUGUUGUUG
rnacentral:lncRNA from 13 species